AUGCAGUGGACCCAGUUUUGGAGACACAAAAAUCCUCCUCAUCAAAAACAUGACUUUGAUCUGCAUCCUCAUCUGGACUCUCCUCUGCUGCUGCUUCACAGAGGUCAGGUCACAGUGACUCAGCCUGCAGCAGAGAGAGCUGAUCUGGGAAGAUCUGCUACCAUCAGUUGUAGAACCAGUCAGGAUGUUUAUAACAACAACUACUUGGCGUGGUACCAACAGAAAGAUGGACAAACUCCACAUCUACUCUUCUACUAUGUUGGCAGUCGCGUCUCAGGGACUCCAAGUCGUUUUAACGAUGGAGGAUCAAACUCUGACUUCACUCUGACCAUCAGUGGAGUUCAGGCUGAAGAUGCUGCAGUUUAUUACUGUCAGAGUGCUCACUACAUCAACAGCAAGUGGAUGUUCACACAGUGA